UAAAUCCUACGGGGGGCAGCAGUAGGGAAUCUUCCACAAUGGGCGAAAGCCUGAUGGAGCAACGCCGCGUGGGUGAAGAAGGUCUUCGGAUCGUAAAACCCUGUUGUUAGAGAAGAAAGUGCGUGAGAGUAACUGUUCACGUUUCGACGGUAUCUAACCAGAAAGCCACGGCUAACUACGUGCCAGCAGCCGCGGUAAUACGUAGGUGGCAAGCGCUAUCCGGAUUUAUUGGGCGUAAAGGGAACGCAGGCGGGCUUUUAAGUGUGAUGUGAAAGCCUUUGGCUUAACCGGAG
rnacentral:rRNA from 1 species